AGGAGGCGCUGGAGAAUAACGUGGAGACAAGGAGACAAACAAAAGAAAAGGAAGACGACAAAGAAAUUCAAGAAGCAAGUGGACAUAUUGCUGAAAGAGGAAAGGCAGAAUUGCUUAAAAUGAGCUGCAAAAGUUGGAAAAUGUGAAAAAGAGGAGGGAGGCGCAAAUGACUGGCUCACUAAGAUGAGGGCUGUGCUGAGACGAGUGAGGGUGGGUGAAGCUCGUCUCAGCAACCUUGUUUAAAAGAAUCCGGCAGGACCUGUUGGAGGAAGCGAGACGGACAUUAAGUGGUGCAAAGAGCAAAUGAAGAAACAACCAGAGGGUUCGAAGGUGGGGAUGUGAGUCUCACCCAGGAUCUACUGACGCCAUACUGUGCAACAGUAAUCAGCGUCAUGAGAAAGUCAUGGUUUGUAUGAGAAAUAUCAAAGAGGUCAGGUUGAUGCAUCCUGACAUCACGAUGAAUACAUACACAAUACAUCACACUGAGUAUCGUACACCAAGGCAGCCAAAGGAGAUCACUGGAAGCAGAUACCUCAGCUCCUGCAGGAACUCUCCACUUAAAGCUGCUGUUACUAAGACCAACACACCUGUCUUCUGUCCCAGCACCAGACCCAGGAGGAUGGUCCACCCAAGAGUCUGGCUCCUCCCAAGGUUUCUUCCAGUGACUGGGAGUUUUUCCUUGCCAAUGUAGCCUUUGGCUUGCUGUUGGGGGCAUGAGGACAGCUUUUGCUUCUUCUAAC